UAGAAGUAUCUCCACAUCUCUCUUCAGCACUAUGAUAUUGUCAGCUUAUUCCUCUAGCCAAAGCCCAUCAGAAACUAGAAAUAAGAAAGUGUAACAAUGGAGUCUACAAGGGUUAGAAGCUCUUUUACCUCAGGCAUGGUACAGUAAAAGGAUGUAGACUAGAUAUGUGUGAAAGUGGUGGGCUGAAGGAAAGAAACACAGUUUGUUAGCCUAGUAAAACAGGAUGGGAUUUUUUUUUUCUAUAAAUGACCUUACAGUACAUACUUGGGCUUAGUGGACCAGAGUCUCUGUAGCAGCUACUCAACUAUGACUAUAUAAAGAAAAAGCAGCUCUAGAUAAUACAUAAGUGAAUAGUUUGGUUUUGGACUUGGUGGAUAUGAUGAUGACUCCUCUUUGACCAUGCAGAGAAAAACAAUGUCCUAGAGAAUAGUGGGAUAAUAAAGUGUAACUAGCCUGUGUUGCUAGCAUCUUGGAGCUACCCUGAGUCCCAUGGUUAGUUUUUCUGAUUUUAGUGAGCUGCCACAUGGGGAGGCUAUCUGUCAAGAAACAGGGUUGUUUCCAGUCAAAAGCGGCAAUGAAAGGAGGCCCUCAGGCCAACAACCUUCAAGAAAUUUGAAGCCUAGCAACAACCACAACCUACAGCCACAGUUUGGAUGAUGAUCCUUCCCACUUGUGUCUUCAGAUGAGAUCUCAGUCCUUAGUGACGCUUUGAUUGUAAAAGACUCUGAAGCAGAGGACCCAUCUUAGUCAUGUCUGUAUUCCUGACCUAAGGAAACUGUGAGAUAAUACAGGCUUACUUUAUGCCACUAUGAUUAGAAUAUGGCCAAAAGCUAGUGAUUACAAUUUGAGCUUUCAAAUUGUAAUUUGACAAGCCUCCUUCUGGUACCCUGUCUUAAUAUGCUUCUGCCAGUAAAGCAAUCUCCUGUGAACAUGGAACUAUUGAUUUCCUUUUUCUCAUCAUUGUGAAUUAUAUCUGAAUUCUGCUAAAGACUUGCUAGAGUUUUAUACUGCUAUAGUCAAACAAAAGGAUAUUGGGAUGAGGACAUUUUCCCACUAUGUAUCUACAAUCUGGCCUGUGAUGAAACAUUUAAAGUCAAGAGAAGAUCAAUAUAAAGAGAAGAGAAAUGUGAAAUGGACUAAAAUCUCUUAUUUAUUCUGUCUCUAAAAAUGGAAAUGCUACAUGCCUCCAUCAUAUCAGAUAGAUUAAGCAGAAUACGCUCCCACAAAAGGCCUUGUACAAAGUGCUGCAUAAAGAACACCAAUGCCAACGUAAGUCACUGAUGCUUAGAAGCUUAAGCCAUAUACAGUUGAUUCUCAUUGUUUGAGUAGUUAUGUUCUAUAGAGUUGCCUGCAAUGUUGAAUUAGUAAAUACUGAAUCACUGCC